rnacentral:rRNA from 1 species
UACGGGGGAGCAAGCGUUGUUCGGAUUUACUGGGCGUAAAGGGCGCGUAGGCGGCCACCGCAAGUCGACUGUGAAAUCUCCGGGCUUAACCCGGAAAGGUCAGCCGAUACUGCGGGCUAGAGUGCAGAAGGGCAACUGGAAUUCUCGGUGUAGCGGUGAAAUGCGUAGAUAUCGAGAGGAACACCUGCGGCGAAGGCGGGUUGCUGGGCUGACACUGACGCUGAUGUGCGAAAGCUAGGGGAGCGAACGGG